AGGACGAGGACGACAGCAGAAAUAGGGUGGAGUGCUGAUGGCGCGGCCUGGACGUGCUUCCUCGCCGAGCAAGCACAGCAGAGUGUGUUCGAGGAGCAAAGGAGGAGGAGGAGUUCGUGAGGACGGACGGCUGCAGGAAAUCGCUCAAGGACCGCGCUGGUGACGGCUCUGUGGGCGCGAGGGAUAAACCACUCACUCCCCAGUUCGAUUCUUACAGAUUUCUGUGAGUUAUCGCCCUCGGUGUCGGCAACAACCCUUGCGGCGACAGCUCGUGGCCCCCAUGGGCU